UUUGUAGCUCAGCUGGAUAGAGUGACUGACUACGAAUCAGUAGGUCGGGGGUUCGAGUCCCUCCAGGCG
rnacentral:tRNA from 1 species